rnacentral:rRNA from 1 species
UACGGGGGGGGUAAGCGUUGUUCGGAAUUACUGGGCGUAAAGGGCGCGUAGGCGGCGUGACAAGUCACUUGUGAAAUCUCCGGGCUUAACUCGGAACGGCCAAGUGAAACUGUCAUGCUAGAGUGCAGAAGGGGCAAUCGGAAUUCUUGGUGUAGCGGUGAAAUGCGUAGAUAUCAAGAGGAACACCUGAGGUGAAGACGGGUUGCUGGGCUGACACUGACGCUGAGGCGCGAAAGCCAGGGGAGCAAACGGG